UUGGUGCCACGACAAUCCACCUCCUAGGAUGGAGUCGGACGCCCUUCCGCUCCUUUUAUAAACCUCGGGCAUUCGCUCCCUUGCUGGUUGUCCUUGACACAUCUUUCGAACUCGUCUCCAACCGGGCCAGCGGUCGAACUUUGAGCUUUUCAAGAUGUCGCGCUCCGUAGGUCAUAGGUCGAGCGGUGCAGUUGCAGUCGACCCGGAGACUGCAUCUCGACCGAGUUCCACAUCCUUCUCCACCUUGGGUGCUCACGGGGGGUUGUGAUGCCUUUCGCACGGCACAUGAGGUCGCCGAGGUGCUGCGAGUGCAGCUUGCUGAGGUCGACGGCCGCGUCGUUGCCUUGGAAGCAGAGCUCGAUAUACUGCGCCACCGCUCUAGCCAGCUUCUUGAUUAAGUUGGGGCCCAUGGUGCCUCUUUGAUCGAGCACCUGGAUAACGCCUCGUGCCACGUUCAGGACAUUGUAGACUUUGAUGUUCACUGUGGGGCUGUGGUGACGCUGCUCAUGGCAGAGGUCUGCUUGGGCUACAACCUUCAAGAUCUCAUUGGUCCCCCUUCGUCCUUCUCGGAUGAAGGGUUGGAGGACCUGCUGGAAGGCUACGACGACAUAGCUAGCCACGUCGUUCUUAGGGUGUCUGUUCACGACGUCGUCCGCGCUGCACGCUAACUGUGGCGUGUUAUGCCUUGGCACUGUCCUUGUGACAAUAAUAAUAAUAUAUGCAAAUACUUUUGCUUUCUAA